rnacentral:tRNA from 1 species
AUCGGCUUAGUACAAAAGAUUAGUGCGUGGGAUUGUAAAUCCUGAGAUGGUUAGACCAGCCGGGA